CCUACGGGUGGCAGCAGUGAGGAAUAUUGGUCAAUGGGCGGGAGCCUGAACCAGCCAUGCCGCGUGAAGGCGAGUGCCCUACGGGCGUUAAACUUCUUUUGUGCGGGAGCAAUAAGGGCCACGCGUGGCCCGAUGAGAGUACCGCACGAAUAAGCAUCGGCUAACUCCGUGCCAGCAGCCGCGGUAAUACGGGGGAUGCGAGCGUUAUCCGGAUUUAUUGGGUUUAAAGGGUGCGUAGGCUGUGAGGUAAGUCAGCGGUGAAAUGCCCCCGCUCAACGGGGUGAAGUGCCAUUGAUACUGCCUUGCUGGAAUGCGGAUGCCGUGGGAGGAAUGUGUGGUGUAGCGGUGAAAUGCAUAGAUAUCACACAGAACACCGAUUGCGAAGGCAUCUCACGAAUCCGCGAUUGACGCUGAUGCACGAAAGCGUGGGUAUCAAACAGGAUUAGAUACCCUUGUAGUC
rnacentral:rRNA from 1 species